CCCCCUUCCUUGCCCAUGGUAUGAUUAGUUAUCUGGUUAACUUACACUAUGCCAAUUGUUAAGAUGUAGACCAUUAAAUUUUGUAGCAAAACAAUCAUAGACAAUCAAAUAACAAAGGAAUCAAUCCUGUGUCCGUCAACGCUGGUGAAGGGAGCUAAACCAAAACCUGGAUAAGCUUCCGGUCAGUACAAAGCAAUCAAAAAAAUUCACCUACUCAUGUGCCGGAACAUGGACCUAUACUCAGUACAAAUCUAACACGGUACCUU
rnacentral:lncRNA from 1 species